rnacentral:antisense_RNA from 3 species
CUCUAUGGCGGGCGGUGCGUGGGGGUCUUCGGGCCCGCCGGUCAAUUGCUUGAUGUCAUUCCGGCUUGCAGCCACGCACCGUCCGCCACCCGC